CUACGGGGCGCUGCAGUUAGGGAUAUUCGGUAAUGGGGGAAACCCUGACCGAGCAAUGCCGCGUGAAUGAAGAAGUAUUUCGAUAUGUAAAGUUCUGUUGUUAAGGAAGAAAGGUACGAAUAGGAAAUGAUUCGUAAUUGACGGUACUUAACCAGAAAGCCCCUGCUAACUACGUGCCAGCAGCAGCGGUAAUAGGUAGGGGGCGAGCGUUAUCCGGAAUUAUUGGGCGUAAAGGGUGCGUAGGCGGCCUGUCAAGUCCGAGUUGAAAGCCCACGGCUUAACCGUGGAGGGGGCUCGGAAACUGAUAGGCUUGAAUCCAGAAGAGGCAAGUGGAAUUCUAUGUGGAGCGGUGGAAUGCGUAGAUAUAUGGAGGAACACCAGUGGCGAAGGCGGCUUGCUGGGCUGGUAUUGACGCUGAUGCACGAAAGCGUGGGGAGCAAACAGGAUUAGAUACCCCCGUAGUC
rnacentral:rRNA from 1 species